rnacentral:rRNA from 1 species
UGGGGAAUUUUGGACAAUGGGGGAAACCCUGAUCCAGCCACCCCGCGUGUGCGAUGAAGGCCUUCGGGUUGUAAAGCACUUUUGGCAGGAAAGAAACGUCAUGGGUUAAUACCCCGUGAAACUGACGGUACCUGCAGAAUAAGCACCGGCUAACUACGUGCCAGCAGCCGCGGUAAUGCGUAGGGUGCAAGCGUUAAUCGGAAUUACUGGGCGUAAAGCGUGCGCAGGCGGUUCGGAAAGAAAGAUGUGAAAUCCCAGAGCUCAACUUUGGAACUGCAUUUUUAACUCCCGGGCUAGAGUGUGUCAGAGGGAGGUGGAAUUCCGCGUGUAGCAGUGAAAUGCGUAGAUAUGCGGAGGAACACCGAUGGCGAAGGCAGCCUCCUGGGAUAACACUGACGCUCAUGCACGAAAGCGUGGGGAGCAAACAGG